GUGGGGAAUAUUGGACAAUGGGCGAAAGCCUGAUCCAGCCAUGCCGCGUGUGUGAAGAAGGUCUUCGGAUUGUAAAGCACUUUAAGUUGGGAGGAAGGGCAGUAAGUUAAUACCUUGCUGUUUUGACGUUACCGACAGAAUAAGCACCGGCUAACUUCGUGCCAGCAGCCGCGGUAAUACGAAGGGUGCAAGCGUUAAUCGGAAUUACUGGGCGUAAAGCGCGCGUAGGUGGUUUUGUAAGUUGGAGGUGAAAUCCCCGGGCUCAACCUGGGAACUGCCUCCAAAACUGCAUGACUAGAGUACGGUAGAGGGUAGUGGAAUUUCCUGUGUAGCGGUGAAAUGCGUAGAUAUAGGAAGGAACACCAGUGGCGAAGGCGACUACCUGGACUGAUACUGACACUGAGGUGCGAAAGCGUGGGGAGCAAACAGGAUUAGAUACCCCGGUAGUCU
rnacentral:rRNA from 1 species